rnacentral:lncRNA from 10 species
GUCACAAAGGGCCAAACAGGGUGAGGAAACCCGACGCAGAGUCCGGAGAAGGCAGCAUGGAAUCCCUCCCUCAGGCCUCUCUGGACGGUGUUGGUGGUAGGAUCAAGAUGAACACACUGCAGACGAGGACACGAGCCCCACAGGAGCUCUUUGUCCCGCAGGAGACCAGCGGACCCACGUCAGAGAAGAUGCUUGUAUCUUUUCAUGGCUCUUCUCUGAGA